GAGGAAAAACUUGCUGAUUUAUUUGUAGCUCUGGUCCUAUUUCCGGGAAUAAUAAAGAGUAAUUAAAGUCAUUACAGGUCGGAUUUCAUACAUCCGCACAGUGGACGGACUGAGUUUCGGUCCAGACGGCCAGGAAAUACUCUGUGGAUUCUAGAGGCACAUUCAGGAGGAGGGAUCGAACGGACGCUGGUGAGGAGCAGCUGCUGAUGCUGCAGCCGCCGUUAAUCCUGCCGACGCCGCUGAGCUUCUGUGGUCAGUACUAACCGGCCUUUUAUUUUACAUGGGUGCGGCUCUGAUCCGUCCAUGUGUCCCAGGUAUCUGUUCAUUACUUUUACUGCUUAAAUCACCAAAGCAACAUCCAAAAACACAGCUGCCCACGUUUCUCUGCCGCUUCCAUCAAACGCUCCUUCACGGAAACGAGAAAUGUUC